UUGUGCCUGACUAGAAGGAAUCUGCAAUGAUAAUACUGACUUCAGUUCCACGGUUUGCUUGUGCCUAGAGAACGGCUGAUUCUGAUUCAAGGCUGAUCGAUUGGGGCAUCUCUAGCUGUGUCAGCAACAUUGACGUAAGCGAGACUGCUGCUUCCAAACUAUAAGUAGAUCAAGUCUCUGAGCUUUAGCCUUUUAGCACUGAUUUAAAGUUAAAGGCACAUUUAGCUCCCCGAGAGGUUUUCUGGCACCUUCCUAUAGGGGUAUCAUGCUACAAGCCUUCUGUAGUUCACACUUUUCUCACUUUCUUGCACCGUCUUAUCAUGCAGGAGGUGGG